GACGAACGCUGGCGGCGUGCUUAACACAUGCAAGUCGAACGGAAAGGCCCUGCUUUUGUGGGGUGCUCGAGUGGCGAACGGGUGAGUAACACGUGAGUAACCUGCCCUUGACUUUGGGAUAACUUCAGGAAACUGGGGCUAAUACCGGAUAGGAGCUCCUGCUGCAUGGUGGGGGUUGGAAAGUUUCGGCGGUUGGGGAUGGACUUGCGGCUUAUCAGCUUGUUGGUGGGGUAGUGGCUUAACAAGGCUUUGACGGGUAGCCGGCCUGAGAGGGUGACCGGCCACAUUGGGACUGAGAUACGGCCCAGACUCCUACGGGAGGCAGCAGUGGGGAAUAUUGCACAAUGGGCGGAAGCCUGAUGCAGCAACGCCGCGUGCGGGAUGACGGCCUUCGGGUUGUAAACCGCUUUCGCCUGUGACGAAGCGUGAGUGACGGUAAUGGGUAAAGAAGCACUGGCUAACUACGUG
rnacentral:rRNA from 1 species